rnacentral:rRNA from 1 species
AUUGAACGCUGGCGGCAUGCUUUACACAUGCAAGUCGAACGGCAGCGGGGUAGUGCUUGCACUACUGCCGGCGAGUGGCGAACGGGUGAGUAAUAUAUCGGAACGUACCGAGUAAUGGGGGAUAACCAAUCGAAAGAUUGGCUAAUACCGCAUACGUCCUGAGGGAGAAAGCGGGGGAUCGCAAGACCUCGCGUUAUUCGAGCGGCCGAUAACUGAUUAGCUAGUUGGUGGGGUAAAGGCCUACCAAGGCGACGAUCAGUAGCGGGUCUGAGAGGACGAUCCGCCACACUGGGACUGAGACACGGCCCAGACUCCUACGGGAGGCAGCAGCGGGGAAUUUUGGACAAUGGGGGCAACCCUGAUCCAGCCAUGCCGCGUGUAUGAAGAAGGCCUUCGGGUUGUAAAGUACUUUUGUUAGGGAAGAAAAGGGAAGUGCUAAUACCACUUUUUGCUGACGGUACCUAAAGAAUAAGCACCGGCUAACUACGUG